rnacentral:rRNA from 1 species
CCUACGGGAGGCAGCAGUGAGGAAUAUUGGUCAAUGGACGAGAGUCUGAUCCAGCCAAGUAGCGUGAAGGAUGACGGCUCUAGGGAUUGUAAACUUCUUUUAUAUGGGAAUAAAAUGUUCCACGUGUGGGAUUUUGUAUGUACCAUAUGAAUAAGGAUCGGCUAACUCCGUGCCAGCAGCCGCGGUAAUACGGAGGAUCCGAGCGUUAUCCGGAUUGAUUGGGUUUAAAGGGAGCGUAGGUGGAUUGUUAAGUCAGUUGUGAAAGUUUGCGGCUCAACCGUAGAAUUGCAGUUGAAACUGGCAGUCUUGAGUACAGUAGAGGUGGGCGGAAUUCGUGGUGUAGCGGUGAAAUGCUUAGAUAUCACGAAGAACUCCGAUUGCGAAGGCAGUUCACUGGACUGCAACUGACACUGAGGCUCGAAAGUGUGGGUAUCAAACAGGAUUAGAUACCCGAGUAGUC